UACUCGCAGUGAUCUCGGGCUUACCGAGAUUGUCGCGCCCCUAUAAGAAAAAUGCAUUUUCGCAUAUUUUCCAUCGAGAUCUUCAUCAAAAACUAGAGGAUAAAUGGUGAAUCGUAUGAUGUGUUUGAGGAUCAGGCUGUUGUGUAUAGACUGUUCAGGCCAUAGCGACUCCAAUCACAAAGAGAGCAAGACUGAUGACCCCCUCGUCGCCGUGCCAAGACGGACCAAAGUGUCCAGCAUUUCACUCAACAUUCCCCCGGCAGGACUCGGCAGCAGACCUUCGUCCAUCAUCACCACCUCCGAUGAAGGUGGCUUUAACGAGCCCUCCCCAAAAAUCGAGGCGAGACUGCGCCCCCACGAGGAAUCCCUCUACGACUUCCCUGUGAACGAGGACGUCCUAGUCGAGUACGACAAUUCACCAGAAGACGUCACUGAGUAUUCGGAGGGUGACGUGGUGACCGAUAACCCGGUGAAACUCACCCAAGCGGAGAUCGAAGCUCUCUACGCCGUACCUAACAAGAAUAAAACUGCUCCCGGUGGUGUUGCGAUGGAAGAGAGGCAAUAUUCGAUACCGGAACUAAAAUCGGCCAGUUUCGACAAAUCGGUCUCCCCCACGGACUCCGAUGCAGGCUACGCGGUCCCCUAUCGCUCGCCUAGCAUCGCCCAUCAAAAGUCCGUCACCUCCACCGACUCCUCGGACGUUUCCCAAGUAACCGUGGUGCAAAAAUCAGUAGAUUCAGACGUGAUGUACCAUCAGAACAGUCCGGUGGUCAACUCGGUACUCUCCGAGCUGGAAAGCCAAGAGAGUUUCGAGAAGAACUGCCGUAGAGAGCCGGAGGUACCACCGGAACCGUUCAUCAUAAGCCGGGAGGCGUUGCAAAGUGAAAAACUGGCGAAAAGUCCGGAAAAUCGCCGAUCGGAGGCGAACAUCCUGGACGCGAACGAUCUGGAGUUUUCCGGCGACUGCGAGGUGGAGAAGAAGGCGGUGUCCGAGUUGGACUCGAUGACCCCCGACGAAGCCGAGAACCUCCUGAGCACCAAAAUUCUGGAGAAAAGAUUUAGAGCGGAUCUUUUAUCGGACGAGGAGGCUCAAGAGGUGGCUCGACUGCUACAUGCCAAAGAGCAAAAGAUCCACAAAUGGCCUCCGACCAGUAACUCCCUGUUCCAGGAUUCGAUCACCGCUUCAGUGCACGAUUCCUCCGGACCGGUUUCGUUAAACGACAGUUUAGGUCCUCCGUCACUCCAAGAGGAAUCCGUCGCCACCGAGUCCAUCACCAACGAACCGAACGCUGAUUGGCAAAAGAACUUCUCCAGCAAUCAGGAGAAUAAGAACAUUAAGGAUCUGGAGCCGUUGAGUCAGUAUUACGAGUCCACGUCCAGCCUGGACAUGUCCACGCAGGACGAGGAGGAGUUUUUGAACCAUUCCAAGUUUGACGCCAGCGUUUCCGCCUCCGAUUCCGGACUUAUUGAUUCAGUGACGAGCAUUUCGGACACAAACAACGCGGAAACGGGAAGCGAGGAAAUCCUGGAUUUCGUCCCUAAACCGGUGGCGAUCGUGGGGGUGGAACACGGGGUCCACUACUACGAGGACGGCCACUUCUGGAUGGAGGUUCCCGGUCUACCUCCAGAAGAGGAGGACGACGAUCUGGAUUAUCCCGUUUACGUCCCGAAACCGACCAAAGUGAAUUUUUCCGUCGAACCCAUCAGGGUGUUUUCCACGUUCAGUGUAUCGGAUUAUGACCGACGUAACGAAGACGUGGACCCGGUAGCCGCCUCCGCCGAAUACGAGCUAGAAAAACGCGUGGAAAAAAUGGAAGUUUUCCCGGUGGAACUGAUCAAGGGUCCCGAGGGACUCGGCCUGAGCAUCAUCGGGAUGGGAGUGGGGGCGGACGCGGGCCUGGAAAAGCUCGGGAUCUUCGUCAAGACGAUCACCGCGAACGGGGCGGCGGCCAAAGACGGCAGGAUCAAAGUGAACGAUCAAAUCAUCGAAGUGGACGGGAAAAGUUUGGUCGGGGUGACGCAGGCGUACGCCGCCAGCGUUCUGAGGAACACUUCCGGAUUGGUCAAGUUCAGUAUAGGUAGAGAAAGGGAUCCGGAAAACAGCGAGGUGGCCCACCUGAUCCGUCAGUCCCUGCAAGCGGAUAAAGAACGCGAGGAAAGGAGACAGCGGAUAUUCGAGUCGGAGCAACAGCAGAGCGACGCCAGUACCGUUCAGUUAACGGGGUCUACAAAUACGAGUGUCAGUGAUGGUCCGGUGAGUCCCACAGUGAACCAGGAGAGUCUGUUCGAUAACGAGCAGGAUAAUACGGAAUCUUUGAGGAAUCUCUUACAAGAGACGCAACGCAAGCUAAGAUUGUCUGAGCAUGAGGUUGCGAUGAUGAAAACCCAGAUAAUGGAGCAAAACGGCAUGAAACCGGACGAGUCUAACGAGAAACUGGAGCAGGUGAACCAGAAACUGCGAGACGCGGAACGUCAACUGGUGACGAGCAAAAAGGAGUCGCAAACGUUCCAGAAUAUGCUGGAACAGUCGCAGGCUCAGUACCAGACCCUGGAGAAGAAGUACGGCAAAGCGAAGCAGCUGGUCAGGGAGUUCCAGCAGAGGGAGCUGGACAUGCUGCACCGGGAAGACUUUUAUCAGCAACUGCUCCAAGAAAAAGACACCGAAUAUAACGCUCUGGUUAAGAGCCUGAAGGAUCGGAUCAUCGCCCUGGAGCAGGAUUUACUCGACACCCAAAGGAAGGCGGGCCUCCCGAUGAUCUUACCAUACGACAACACCAACAUUAAGCAACUCGCCUCGCCGCAGAUGGCGCGCAAAGCGCAGCCGCCCAAGCCCCCACUCCAGUUCCAGUCGCUCAAUCCGGACUUUUCCGAUACUGAUGACGUGUCCGACCAAAGUCCGGACGAGGACAAGACGGCGACCGUGGAGCGGAAAAUGCCGGAGAAGGCUGGAGCGAAGGACGAACUGGACAGUGCGGUGCCGCCCCACGAGCUCUUAGACAUAAAAGCGACGCGGAGCAAGGCGGAACUGGCGACCCGCGGCUCCCUGGCCAACCGGCAACUGCCGAGCGGGGCGGCGAAAAAGGGCGGCGGAGGCGGCAGCAGCAGCGGGGGCGGCUCCCUCAGCAACAGCAGCUCCGACUACGGCCUGGACGAGAGCUACAACUCGGCGGACGAGGAGCCUCUGCCGCCCCGAGGCAAAAGUAGUCGCCCUUCUGCCGCCCUCGUCUCUUCUAAAGUCAACGUUGUCCGCCCCACGUCGCUAACUACCACCACCACUACUACUACUACUACUACUAACUCUCAUUAUAUCAUUCAACCGCAGUACGCCGCUGUCCAGCACCAGCCGCAGCGACAAUACCACGAUCAGUACAGCGUGCAGUACAGCGAGGUGCAAAAAACCGGAAAGAACAACGGCGCACCCUGCGCGGCGCAGGGUGUCAUUGGCGGCGAAUCUACCGGCGUGGUUUACGCUCGGGUGCAGAAAGACACGCGGACGGACGAAGUGACGACGACGACGACGACGUCGUACGCGGAGGCGGCCGGGGGCGGCAACAAGGGCGUCGGUCCGCCGCCCUCCUUGGCCGAGCAGCUCAAACAAGUGUUAGCCGAGAGAGAAAAAAGACUGGGCAGUGACAGCGUGACAAGCUCAACUGACGAACUGAACGAGGAAAAAUCCAAAGAAGACCCCGCGCACCACCUCCUGGAGGAAAUCAGGCAGGCGGUCAGCGAGGCGAAUGCCAAAGUGAAAAAAGUGGUACCGGUGACCCUGUCGCCGCCCGGAACCACCCCCUGGCACCACCAGCAGGGGAGCAACACCUCCCCCGAGCCGCCGUCCCCUUCCAGUUUAAGUUCGGGGUCGGUUUCACCCUCGAGACACGACACCUCCUGGGCCACCACCGAUCUCAGUAUGUCGUCGUGCAGUAUCGCUAGCGAUAAACGCGGUUCGACGUCGCAUUUUUGGCAUUCCACCCCCGUUAACGACUGGAAUAAGGAUCAGGUGUGCCAGUGGCUCCUCCAGAUCCGGCUGGAGCAGCACAUCCAGAAGUUCGCGGAGCUCCAGGUGAACGGCAGCGCCCUCUUGUUGCUCACCUCCGCCGACUUCAAGAUCCUCGGCAUCACCAGCGACGACAAGAACCGCCUGAAGCGGAAAAUCAAGGAACUGAAGGCGCAAGCGGAAAAGGAGCGGAAACAACAGGAAAAGGACCGCAAAGAGAAGGAGAAACAGAUGCGGAAGGCGGAGAGGGCGAGCAAGAAGAAAUGAUGAUUAUUAGCCGGACUGUUUGUCGGCAUUUAGGGCCAUAAAUGUGUAAAUAUUGUAUAAUAUUGUGAACUUAGAGCCUGAAUGUUAUUUAUUAUAGCGGAUUUAACUGUGAUGCCAAUAAGUUUUCCCGGUUUUUUUUUCAUGUCAAUCGUGCAAUACGUCCCCUCCCCGUUUUAACGUAGAAAUUACAGUUUUAGCCUUGGAACUGUCACUGUUACGUUAGAAGUUGCUUCAGGGUAGCAGAGGGAGGGGCAACUGUAUCCAGGGUGUCCCAUGUAAUCAAAAUCAAAUUCCCGAAAAGGUAUACGUGAUUUUAUUCUCGUAACUAAUUUAAAGGAGACGUUUUGUAUUAUAGCCUAAAUAUCGCCAAAAGUAUUGUGGUUAGGGCUUUAGUAGGUAUUACCAACAUUUUAGACUAGAUCAUUUCCAAUCCAAUAAAGCUUAUUUCAUGAUUCUACCUUUAGUAGAUCAAGAGUUAUCAUCCAAGAACUCUGAGCGUGACGUUUCAAGACUGUGCUGACGUGAAGUAAAAUUCAAGUGGCCAUAAUUCCUAAACUGUUGAUCCUUUUUGAAAUUUGUUUAAAGAUGCUUGUAGAUGCGCAUCCAUUCUUUAACUUUGCUUAUAAUGGUUACUGUAGAUCAACUUCCCGAAAAGAUAUACAUGAUUUUCCUCUCGUAACUAAUUUUGAGGAGACGUUUUGUUUUACAGCCUAAAUAUCUCCAAAAGUAUUGGGUCUAGGGCUUUAGUAGGUAUUACCAACAUUUUAGACUGGAUCAUUUCCAAUCCAAUACAGCUUAUUUCAUGAUUCUACCUUUAGUAGAUCAAGAGUUAUGAUCCAAGAACUCUGAGCGUGACGUUUCAAGACUGUACUGACGUGAAGCAAAAUUCAAAUCGAUAUAUCUCCUAAACUGUUAAUCCUAUUGUAGAAAUUUAAAAAGAUUCUUGUAUCCAGUCAGAUAUUGUUCAACUUUGCCUAUGAUGGUCUUAACAGUAGAUCAGCUACCUAAGAAGAUAUGAUUAAUUUUUGCGUUGAAGCCUCUUUAUACUUUGUUAUAGUAGGAAAUCGGUCGUUAGUAGACAAAAUAGUUUUGUUCUACGACGUUUUGGCCUCUAUAAGACCAUCCUCAGUACUUUUUGGGACACCCUGGAAUAACCAAGAAGUUAUUUCGUAUUUAUUGUAGUAUACGACCGACCCCUGGGAGGUGUCGUAAUAGUUGUCUUUUUAUUAUAUAAUGAACGUAAAUUAAUUAAAUGCUCGGCUGUAUGGGUAAGUGAUGGUUAAAAUAAGCAUUUUUUACGAAAAAAUCAAAAAGUCAAACUUUUGAGACGAAUUCCGCUCAAAAUCGACUUUUUAAUUUUUAUCCUGGUACCGGCAAACUGUAUGGUAAAAAAAGGAUGAAAACCUGGAAACGUCUGAAAACGCAUCCUUUUUCUACUGUCUUUCUGACCGUUUUAACGCCAUAUUCACCCUUGUAACGGAAUUUAGUCGUGCCCAGUGUAUAUUCAUCCAUUUUACAUAGACGUUGUACAUUUUAGUAGGUACUUACCACGCAAUUAUUUAUCGUUAUGUUCCUUUCUAUCUUUUUGUUUUUUUAAUUGUAAAUUGUGAUAAUUUUAUUUUGUGUGUACACUUAAAUGGCCUACUUAGGGCGGAAGAUGAACCACUAGCAGCUAUUCUAGAAUUUCGAGAAAUUAGUACAAAAUAGAAUCAAAAUUACAUUUUUUUCUUUUCGUUUCUGGGACCAACCCCAAACUGUCAAAACGCGCAAGAUUUUUCGUUAGUGUGUACGUUGUCUUUAAAGAUGUUCAUUAGUGUACACGUUGUUCCUAUUAAAGGAGUGAGUUAGUGAUUCCUAAAUUUGAAUUUUUACAAAUAACGCGGUUGAAUUGAUUCGCCUCGUGUACACUGGUGAUUGGUGAACACUUUGGGUCUCUUAAGGCACAGUUACGCCUACACGCAACACUAGGAUGAACACUGAAAGUUCCUCCUUGCGAUUGUGCUCAAUUUUAAUGAUUGUUCCGCUUUAUUUUGUUCGGAUUGUACGUAUUUUACGCAGAAGCUAGGAUGUAAGAACAGUUUGUUUCUGUUUUUUUAAAUAAUAAGACCCGUUUGUGAUUUCUUUUUAACUUUUGUAAUUAUUCGUAAAUCAAAAGUAGUCAAGUAAAUAUUAAUAAAUUAACAAUUGUAUUUAUA
rnacentral:misc_RNA from 1 species